rnacentral:rRNA from 1 species
UACGGAGGAUGCCAGCGUUAUCCGGAAUGAUUGGGCGUAAAGCGUCCGCAGGUGGCUAUGUAAGUCUGCUGUUAAAGAGUCUAGCUCAACUAGAUAAGAGCAGUGGAAACUACAAGGCUAGAGUACGUUCGGGGCAGAGGGAAUUCCUGGUGUAGCGGUGAAAUGCGUAGAGAUCAGGAAGAACACCAGUGGCGAAGGCGCUCUGCUAGGCCGUAACUGACACUGAGGGACGAAAGCUAGGGGAGCGAAUGGG